UACGUAGGGGGCAAGCGUUGUCCGGAUUUAUUGGGCGUAAAGAGCUCGUAGGCGGCCUGUUAAGUCGAACGUGAAAUCCCCGGGCUCAACCCGGGAACUGCGUCCGAUACUGGCAGGCUUGAGUCCGGGAGAGGGAUGCGGAAUUCCAGGUGUAGCGGUGAAAUGCGUAGAUAUCUGGAGGAACACCGGUGGCGAAGGCGGCAUCCUGGACCGGCACUGACGCUGAGGCGCGAAAGCCAGGGGAGCAAACGGG
rnacentral:rRNA from 1 species